AAUUAUAAAAUCUAAUAAGUUAACAUACAAAAUGUUUGAAUGUCUUUUCGGCAAUCAUGGACUAAUCCAUCCGCGGCUGAAAAGGGCCCGCGGGACACACGCACGAAUCCCACAAGCGCAACUCGCCUCAGACUCACCUUUCGGGCAUCCGGUGAACUUGGAUCCACAUGUCCUCCGGUUGUUUUGCGACAUUUUUCGACAGUCUUUUCCCUAUCAGGUUUAUGCUUGGAAUGUAGAAUCGACGUACAAGACGAAAAAACUAUAGCAACCAUUGUUUAGAUCACGCUUCGAAAAAUGCGCGCGCUUUAAAAGACUUCGGAAAAGUCGCGCGCUUUGGAAGACGCAGAGCUGCUACACAGGCGAGUAAUGAAAAACAUCAUCUACUCAGUUCUUUUACGCCAAACUGUAAGAACAGACUGAAAACAGACACCUCCCCCUCCCCCUUUAUUUCAAGUCCUACACCACCAGUCAAGUUCUUACGGUAUACCUUGAAGUUUCCAACAAUGCACUGCGGUGUCUUUUCUGUCUAGCGAUGGCGCUGUGAUAGAGACCAUUGCUGACAACAGUUUUGCUUGUAAUUUGCUUACAAAUUACAUCUUUAUCACAUCUGGAGAGUGCCUUACGACAUCAUGAAGUCUAUUUGGGCAUAAUUAAUGCUGUGCUUCUGGAUGUUUGCACGCUGAGGAUAAUUCCAUGUGAUAAUUCCUUGAUCGAGCUUCACGGAGUGAGAAAGGAAUUUUCUACUAGUGAAUGGCCUCAUACUCUCCAAUGAGGAUCAUUUUUGCCUCCUAAGCUUAUUCAACAAUUGUUUUCAGGCCUAUCCUGGAUUGCUUGGACCUGGAAACGUUUUGUUUGGCUUUGGUUCCAAAAGACUUGUAAAAAACUGUUCUGAAAACGGGAGAUGAGUUUUCCCGCCUCUCUGUGAAUGUGUUUAUAAGUCUCCCAUGAUGCAUUGCUGGCAUGCAUCAUGGCGGAUGGAAGCGUCGUUGGCUGACUUGGAAAUAUAAGCGUUAAUAAUUGUGGUUGAUGGCUCUUAAAUGGGAGCUUAUGGAGCACAGUCAAGCUUGCCACAGGAUGACCCGAGGUCUUUCUCCUUUCUAAAAAAGAAAAAAAAUGUAAUCAAGGCGUGGUCACAAUGGGAUGACACAUUCAUAACAAGAUUAUUCCUCUACCUUUCGGCAAGUGCUGGGGCUGAUGUAGCCAAGACCUGAAACACGAGAAGGUUGUGAGUAAGGCAUCUUAAACUGUCUGUCUGCCCUACUGUCUGUUGGCCCUACCUUUUCUAACACGGCAUUCAGUAGAUGCUGUAUGAAUACUUUCUGCAACUUCCUGAAGGAAAAUACAAACGUAUCGAUAGUUGGGAAAUGUUACUUUCUACCGGGGAGAACUCUAACAAAAAACACUUACAGCUCUUGCAGCUUGGCCUUCUUCCUGCCUUCAUCCUAUAAGCAUGAAUAGAAUCAUAAAGAAAUAAGUUCUACCUAUGUUGAAAUAAUACAGUUCUUGUAAGGUGGAACUAUAUUAUUGCUUCGCUUUAUUUGCGCAUCUUGCGUUGAUAAACAAAUCAAAAUAAAUAAUAAAAGAACAACACUAGAAUAGAUAAGAAAGUUAUAAUAAAAUUGCUUGACUACUCCCA